rnacentral:rRNA from 1 species
UACAGAGGUCUCAAGCGUUGUUCGGAUUCAUUGGGCGUAAAGGGUGCGUAGGCGGCGGGGUAAGUCGGAUGUGAAAUCCCGGGGCUCAACCCCGGAACUGCAUUCGAUACUGCCUUGCUAGAGUACUGGAGAGGAGACUGGAAUUUACGGUGUAGCAGUGAAAUGCGUAGAUAUCGGGAGGAACACCGGUGGCGAAGGCGGGUCUCUGGGCAACUCCUGACGCUGAGGCGCGAAAGCGUGGGGAGCAAACGGG